AGAGUUUGAUCCUGGCUCAGGAUGAACGCUGGCGGCGUGCCUAACACAUGCAAGUCGAGCGAUUCUCUUCGGAGAAGAGCGGCGGACGGGUGAGUAACGCGUGGGUAACCUGCCCUGUACACACGGAUAACAUACCGAAAGGUAUGCUAAUACGGGAUAACAUAAGAAAUUCGCAUGUUUUUCUUAUCAAAGCUCCGGCGGUACAGGAUGGACCCGCGUCUGAUUAGCUAGUUGGUGAGGUAACGGCUCACCAAGGCGACGAUCAGUAGCCGACCUGAGAGGGUGAUCGGCCACAUUGGAACUGAGACACGGUCCAAACUCCUACGGGAGGCAGCAGUGGGGAAUAUUGCACAAUGGGCGAAAGCCUGAUGCAGCAACGCCGCGUGAGCGAUGAAGGCCUUCGGGUCGUAAAGCUCUGUCCUCAAGGAAGAUAAUGACGGUACUUGAGGAGGAAGCCCCGGCUAACUACGUGCCAGCAGCCGCGGUAAUACGUAGGGGGCUAGCGUUAUCCGGAUUUACUGGGCGUAAAGGGUGCGUAGGCGGUCUUUCAAGUCAGGAGUUAAAGGCUACGGCUCAACCGUAGUAAGCUCCUGAUACUGUCUGACUUGAGUGCAGGAGAGGAAAGUGGAAUUCCCAGUGUAGCGGUGAAAUGCGUAGAUAUUGGGAGGAACACCAGUAGCGAAGGCGGCUUUCUGGACUGUAACUGACGCUGAGGCACGAAAGCGUGGGGAGCAAACAGGAUUAGAUACCCUGGUAGUCCACGCUGUAAACGAUGAGUACUAGGUGUCCGAGGUUACCCCCUUCGGUGCCGCCGCUAACGCAUUAAG
rnacentral:rRNA from 1 species